ACCUUCGUGGUGUAGUGGUCAGCACACUCCACACGUAUUCGAGAGGUCCGUGGUUCGAGUCCUGGCGAAGGCG
rnacentral:tRNA from 1 species